UGAAAAGCAGAAGGGAACUAGUGUCUUCCCUGUGACCACAGCAAAGCUUUCUAGAUGGCUGUGGGUUCUUUCUCUCCACGGUGGUGUUGAUGCAAGCAUACUUGCAUGCUGUAGUGGACUUUUUAGAGAGCUGAUGCCCUCCACGCUUUCGCCGGAGAGCUCAUCCUGAGCAAAAUCAAGAAGAUAACCCCAAAGCCUGGUGACCUUUGCUCUUUGGCUGCAACUUUUACUCCUUAGCGGGCAAGAUUUGUUGAAUGCCAUGCAGUAUUUUGUGCGUGUAGGGCUGGUACUUCUGGUGGUAAAAAGAAUUUUCCAAUAAUCAAAGAAUAUAGAAAAAGAAGAAUCAGUACACAGCAAGGGAGCAGCAGGAAUCGAACUCAGGAUGUUGCACUUGCGAGACAGCCAGUGGAAACACUGAGCUAAAUCCCCGGCCCAUAAACUGGUAUUAUUUCUUCCUUACAUGUUUGGUAAAAUUCACUAGUGAAAGCGUUUGAGCUUGAAGUGAGUGGGGAGGUUUUACCUCAUUUAUUUAAUAGGCAUAUUGUUUUUUGCCAUAUCAAUUUCUCAUGUGAGCUUUGUUAGUUUUUUCUUUCAGAAAAUAUGUUCAUUUGAUCAACUUGACUUAUGUUGUUUAUAAUCUUCCCUUAUUCCCUUGUUCUUUAAAAAUCUGUAGAAUCUUUAGUGACAACUUGCCAGAUUUAAAACAUAUUCCCUUGUUGGCAUGAAAAAUACUUUCUACAGUUUGAAUCCCCUUAAUUUCAUUUAAAUUUGUUUUGUGGCUCAGACUAUGCAUCUGUCUUUUAAAAUAUUCUUUCUAAGUGUACAAUUGGAGAAGAAGGGGAUGAGUGGAGGGAGCAAAACAAGGUGAAAUUAAUUCAAGUAUGCAC